rnacentral:lncRNA from 1 species
CCUCUUGUGUGGGCUUCCAGGAAGCUGGACGGAUUGGGACUGGGGCUGCUGUACCCCAGCGGGGCCCCCACCCCCUUUCUGGCUGAGUCUGGAGUACUAGUGAGAGCAUCUCCGUUCAUAUGGAAAAGUGUUCGGUGAACAGAAUGAAAACUGAAGCCACUGUUAGGAGGAGCAGUGGCAAGCAGAGCACGACAGAGUCACCUGGGAGAAAGACAUCUGGAGCACAUCGAUUUGAGGUGGGAAGAUCAGCCCACUGUGGGUGGCACCAUCCUGUAGGCUGGGAAACUGCAUUGUGUUAAAUGAAGAAAGGAUCUGAGCAGCAAUGCGCUCAUCGUUGUUUCCUGAUUGUGGGCAACCAGCUGCUCCAAGCUCCUGCUACUCUGACGACUUCCCCACUGUGAUGGAUUCUAACCUUGAACCAUGAACCAGAAUAAACCCUUUCUCCCUUCUG